rnacentral:rRNA from 1 species
GAGGAUUUGAUCCUGGUCCAGGAUGAACGCUGGCGGUGUGGAUUAGGCAUGCAAGUCGCACGGUCCCGCAAGGGAUAGUGGCGAACGAGUUAGGAACACCUUGGCAACCUUCCCCCGAGAUAGGGAUAGCUCGUCGAAAGACGGGGUAAUACCUGAUGGUCCCUGAGAGCAUAAGCUUGAAGGGUAAACCCGCAAGGGGCUUGGGGAUGGGCCUAGGCCUGAUCAGCUAGUUGGUAGGGUAACGGCCUACCAAGGCUAUGACCAGUAGGGGAGCUGAGAGGCUGUUCCCCAACGGGGGCACUGAGACACGGGCCCCACUCCUACGGGAGGCAGCAGUCGAGAAUAUUCCACAAUGGGCGAAAGCCUGAUGGAGCGACACCGCGUAAAGGAAGAAGCUCUUCGGAGUGUAAACUUUUUUUAAUGGAGAAGAAGUCGCCGCAAGGCGACUGACGGUACCCAUGGAAUAAGGCGCGACAAACUACGUGCCAGCAGUAGCGGUAAUACGUAGGCGUCAAGCGUUAUCCGGAUUUACUGGGCGUAAAGCGUUCGCAGGCGGUCGCCAUACUUCGGUAUGUCCUGAAGGAGAUUUUUCUCCUGAAGGAUCAAGUCUGAUGUUUAAUCCCAUGGCUCAACCAUGGAACCGCAUC